rnacentral:rRNA from 1 species
UACGAAGGGGGCUAGCGUUGUUCGGAAUUACUGGGCGUAAAGCGUGCGCAGGCGGUCUCUCAAGUCAGGGGUGAAAGCCCAGAGCUCAACUCUGGAAUUGCCUUUGAAACUGUGAGGCUUGAGUGCGGGAGAGGUGAGUGGAAUUCCCAGUGUAGAGGUGAAGUUCGUAGAUAUUGGGAAGAACACCGGUGGCGAAGGCGGCUCACUGGCCCGUUUCUGACGCUCAUGCACGAUAGCGUGGGGAUCAAACAGG